ACGCUCGACACCUACGAGGCAGCAGUCGGGAAUAUUGCGCAAUGGAGGAAACUCUGACGCAGUGACGCCGCGUGCAGGAAGAAGGUUUUCGGAUUGUAAACUGCUUUAGACAGGGAAGAAAGAAAUGACAGUACCUGUAGAAUAAGCUCCGGCUAACUACGUGCCUGCAGCCGCGGUAAUCUGAGCGGGCUGGCAAGGC
rnacentral:rRNA from 1 species